rnacentral:rRNA from 1 species
AGUGAACGCUGGCGGUAGGCCUAACACAUGCAAGUCGAACGGCAGCACAGUAAGAGCUUGCUCUUACGGGUGGCGAGUGGCGGACGGGUGAGGAAUACAUCGGAAUCUACUUUUUCGUGGGGGAUAACGUAGGGAAACUUACGCUAAUACCGCAUACGACCUACGGGUGAAAGCAGGGGAUCUUCGGACCUUGCGCGAUUGAAUGAGCCGAUGUCGGAUUAGCUAGUUGGCGGGGUAAAGGCCCACCAAGGCGACGAUCCGUAGCUGGUCUGAGAGGAUGAUCAGCCACACUGGAGCUGAGACACGGUCCAGACUCCUACGGGAGGCAGCAGUGGGGAAGAUUGGACAAUGGGCGCAAGCCUGAUCCAGCCAUACCGCGUGGGUGAAGAAGGCCUUCGGGUUGUAAAGCCCUUUUGUUGGGAAAGAAAAGCAGCAGGUUAAUACCCCGCUGUUCUGACGGUACCCAAAGAAUAAGCACCGGCUAACUUCGU